rnacentral:rRNA from 1 species
GAUGAACGCUGGCUACAGGCUUAACACAUGCAAGUCGAGGGGAAACGGCAUUGAGUGCUUGCACUGAAUGGACGUCGACCGGCGCACGGGUGAGUAACGCGUAUCCAACCUUCUCGUUACUGCGGGAUAACCUGCCGAAAGGCAGACUAAUACCGCAUGUUCUUCGAUGACGGCAUCAGAUUCGAAGCAAAGAUCCGUCGGUAACGGAGGGGGAUGCGUCUGAUUAGCUAGUUGGCGGGGCGACGGCCCACCAAGGCGACGAUCAGUAGGGGUUCUGAGAGGAAGGUCCCCCACAUUGGAACUGAGACACGGUCCAAACUCCUACGGGAGGCAGCAGUGAGGGAUAUUGGUCAAUGGGCGGAAGCCUGAACCAGCCAAGUAGCGUGCAGGAUGACGGCCCUACGGGUUGUAAACUGCUUUUAUGCGGGGAUAAAGUGAGGGACGCGUCCCUUUUUGCAGGUACCGCAUGAAUAAGGACCGGCUAAUUCCGUG